CAGUAGCCGCGGUAAUACGUAGGUGGCAAGUGUUGUCCGGAAUUAUUGGGCGUAAAGGGCUCGCAGGCGGUUUCUUAAGUCUGAUGUGAAAGCCCCCGGCUCAACCGGGGAGGGUCAUUGGAAACUGGGAAACUUGAGUGCAGAAGAGGAGAGUGGAAUUCCACGUGUAGCGGUGAACUGCGUAGAGAUGUGGAGGAACACCAGUGGCGAAGGCGACUCUCUGGUCUGUAACUGGCGCUGAGGAGCGAAAGCGUGGGGAGCGAACAGGAUUAGAUACCCCUGUAGUCCCUGUCUCUUAUAC
rnacentral:rRNA from 1 species